UUUCCGUAGGUGAACCUGCGGAAGGAUCAUUCAUAAUAAAGUGUUUUAUGGCACUUUUUAAAAAUCCAUAUCCACCUUGUGUGCAAUGUUAGAUCUCGUCAAUCUUGGCGAGAUUUUUAUACAUCAACUCAUUCUUUAACUAAUUUGUCUGAAAAAUAUUAUGAAUACUUAAUUCAAAAUACAACUUUCAACAACGGAUCUCUUGGCUCUCGCAUCGAUGAAGAACGAGC
rnacentral:misc_RNA from 1 species